UAUAAAGAGGGUUAGGGGACAUACUAUGAACAUUAUUUUCAUUUUCGAAAAGGUUAAACAGAACUUCAUAUGUAAACCGUCAUAACUUACUGGCACGAGGGUGAUUAGCCUGUUGUACCCUGUAUUAAUCAAUACUACAUGCAAGAAUGAUGUUAUCGUUCACUCUGUCCACCUUGGGUGCAUAAAAAUUUUUCCCGUGUAAGGGAUGUUCAUACUUGUCAGGGUUCCAAACCAAGGCAAUUCGGUUGGAUAAUAAUAAGGUUUUAUCUUGUUCAACAAUAAUCUAUAAUUCAACAUAUAUG
rnacentral:lncRNA from 1 species